rfam:Picea glauca, whole genome shotgun sequence.
GAUCGUAUGAUGAUUUAAAUAACUGCAAACACAUGAUAUCUUGUGAUUACUGGUAUUUAAGUCUCUGAUGACC